ensembl:lncRNA
CAGGCAAAAAUCCUUCUGUUUUUAUAAUGCUCCAAGCACGUUAUACAUGUCAAUGUUAGUGCCGUGUGCCCUACAUAAAUAAAAACAACUUACCAAUGCUCAGCGGGGUGUUACACAUCUUACAGCUAACCUCCGUAUGCGCUGUCUGGGUAUCAGUGAGUAAGCUGCUAAUUAGGGUUAGCCAGGAGUGCAGAACGGGGCCGAUUGCAGGGCAGGCACCGACCCAGCACGUGGCUGCACACUGCAAGUUGAACAGUACCCGAGCUCAAGGCUGGCUUUUAUUUUCUGCAUUGUUUCCCUCUGCAUAAACAUCAGGAACAUGCUUAGACAGUAGAAUUGAGCCCGGAUGUCUGGAGGGCAUCUGGAGGUGUUCAGGUGUGUGAUUGCUUCCUGUCUGCCCACCGCAGCGCUCUCCUGUCUGCAGUACAAACACAGCGCUGCUGGAGGUGUGGGUGCUGCGGGGCUGGGCAGGAACUUGGGUAGCAGUGAGAGGCUGCAGUGUGCAGUGUUUGGGGAGGGGGAGUUCUGAAGGAUUUUUGAUGGGUAGCUUACGUGUCUGUUAGGUGAGAGCACAGCGGUGGCAGUAGAAAAUAAGGAGCGUGGAGGCAGUGUCAGUGUGAGAUUUCAGCAACAAAUAUGUGGGUUCUUUUAGGUAGACUGACUUAAAACGGUUUUUACUGCAUCGCAUUCAGUACAGAUCACACGAGUGAGCGGUCCUUGGGCUGCCCUUACCCACCUGGAGAAACAGCUGCCCCAGGAAGGGGCUCUGUGCCUACCCUGGCAGCAGUCUCCCCCUCAUUUCCCUAGAUAAAUGUGAGUGUUCUGUGCAGACUCCAGCAGGAUGCUGUCCCACGUGUGAGGCCAGCUUUGGCGGGUUGUAACCCUGUGAGUCUUGCUUGUUAUUUAAGGGUGUGGGGGCUGCUGGCUCUUGGGCAGUGAGUUUGUGUUUGUGUGCAUUGGGAUGGGGGCUGAGAUGUUCCCUGUCACACCAUCAGAACCAGAGCUCUGGUGGCUGAGGGAAAAGCAAUGAAAUCCCAUUCUAGGAUUUCAGAGAGAAGGUCCAAGGGUGCAUAGGUGGCCAAAGCGUUUGGAGAGACACACAUGGGCACGUGUGUGCUUAACAAGAUUUAGUACCAAAAAAAAAGAAAAGAGGUAUUUUUGCUUUGAAAAUCCCCCUGAGGGCCCCGAUGUCUUCAUGGGGAGCUGUUUGCCCUUGGGCACAAGCCCCUCUGACACCUGGUGGGACAGCAAAAGGUAACGGAGAAGGCUUGAAAUUAAAUAAUGCCUGUGGACUUCUUAAGCAUUGCGUUGAGCUGAACAGAGCACUGUGGCUGUCCCCUGAGGAGCGCUGGGACAGCUGUAAGGGCAGCUUCUGUACAGCCUGCUCCCAUAACAUCUAAUUGCUUUCAUAUCUAUCAAACACUAAAAGCCUUUCUUCGGAGUUGUGCGUUUGUUUUUAAAUCAAAUAGAUUUAUUCUUGAUGUCUCGGGCACAUUAUUGCAGUAACCUCAUCCUUGGACCAAAACUUUGGCAGAACACACAUAUCUGUAAUGAGGACUUUGUGUUCUGUGGAGGCUUUAUUACAAAAGAGGAUGAACAAGUAUAUUAGAAAGAAAGGGGAGAAACAGGGAAGACUACUUUUUUUGGCAAAGCUUUGUGCUACAGCUCUCGUUUCUCUGGUUGCAGCUGCCUUCAGGCGCACAUCUCAGUCCCUUGUUAUGUUGUGCUCAACUGUUGAUGCUUCCCAGAUUUGCUCUUUGGUGAAACAGGCACGUGUGCAGGUUCCCCAUAAAAAUGGCCGGUUUGGGUUUUACCAGGAACUCUGGCACUUCUCCAUUAUAAGAAGGGAUUACAUUUUUAGGGAGAAUUAACAAGGCAGGAGUAGUGAAGCACUUGAAAUGUCCAGUUUAAUUCUCUCUCUUCCUGCAAGCAAGCUCACACGAGCAGGUUUUUCAGAAGUCCUGAAAUGAAAGCUUCCUGGAAGAAAUACAUAUCCCUGUGGGACCACACAGCUCUCAGUCCUGCCUCCGUGUGAAGAUGAUGUUCCUGGGUGUCAAGCCACGGCCCUGCUCUGGUGGCAUGUGAGGUGUGAGCCUCCAACUGCCUCUGGCUGUACUGCAGGAGGAGACAGCUUGGGAAAUGGGAGCAUACAUCUCACCGGUCUGAAGAGAGCUCAUAGCAGCUCAGGAUCUUUCUGAUUUUUAUGGUCGCUGCCUGUCCUGCCGGUCCGCCUUGGUGAAGAAACAGACUUGGGGUGGAGCAGGGAUGCAGCUGGGGUGCAAGGCAAGGGCUGUGCUGUGGCCGAGUGUCUUCGUUCAAGACCCUCUCCACCAAUAAGGCCAUCCCUUUGGUUCUAAUGAAAUCCUGGGACCCACCACUGAGCCCCUUGGUUUUGAAAGCCAAAGCCUAACCCUGUGGUACCUGAACUGUUGGCAUAAACUCAGCUCAGAAGGCAAUAUGAACCAUUUGUCAAUGAAAGCAGCAGCACGCAUUUAGCCCUGCAGGCUUUCAAGUAUUACCCAAUAAAACAAGCUUCUCCA